GCCAGGAUAGCCAAGCGGUACGGCGGGGGUCUCGAAAACCUCUGGCAUUCGCCUCCGGGGUUCAAAUCCCCGUCCUGGCUCCA
rnacentral:tRNA from 1 species